CGUUGUUCGGAAUCACUGGGCUUAAAGGGCUCGUAGGCGGGCUGCCAAGUUUGGGGUGAAAUCCUCCGGCUCAACCGGGGAAGUGCCUCGAAUACUGGCGGUCUGGAGGGAGGUAGGGGCGUGCGGAACUGUGGGUGGAGCGGUGAAAUGCGCAGAUAUCAGGAGGAACACCGGUGGCGGAGGCGGGUCUCUGGGCCGAUACUGACGCUGAGGAGCGAAAGCGUGGGGAGCGAACAGG
rnacentral:rRNA from 1 species